rnacentral:lncRNA from 1 species
CUUUUCCUUGUAAAAACAUAAAAUUAUGUAAAAGCCAUUUAAAAUGUGUACAAAUGAUUUAUCAAGGUAACCAUUUUUAAGACAUGACAAUAUGUUAAGUCACUUUGUUAAAAGGCAGUUUUCAGUCCUUUGGACAGGAAUGGGGUGAGUCCUUAUCAAACUCGCCUCCUCCUAUAAAUGUUGCUUUUACUGGAGGUGGAAAGUAUUACGUUACAAAAGUUUUAAACAUGUUGGACAUUUUGUAAUGCCUUGUCAUUUGGCCAAGCCAUGGGUGGAUGCAUUUGAAGGCCUUUCUUUGUUAAUUAAUUUUCCCACAGCCAAUACUUUAUAUACCACAUUAUUUGUGAAGUGUACGUACAAAGCAGAAAUAUGAAUGCUUCCUGUGCAACUGCAGAUGAGGCUUUUGACUUUAUUCGAAAUUUGAAAAUUAGAUUUUUGUUCGUGAUUGCAUUUGCCAGAAUGGAUGAUCUUGGUUGAUCUUGUUGAGCUUGUGGGCAAGUUGUCAGUUCUCUCUCAGGAGUACGAAGGUCUCUUGUCAGAGCAGGCUGGACUGAGAUGUUGCCUCUGGUACUUUAGAUCUCCACCAACACGGCAGCUUGUUUUUGAAUUGUUUGUGGUUACAGCUUCUCUGCUGCUCUGUUACCUCAAGAAGCACAGUCAUCCCCUUUUGACCUGUGGUUUACUUGCAUAGGUAGAGUAGGGUUUAGUUCUUCUCAUGCUGGGCUCUUUUCAUGCGUGUAACCCCCCAAUAAGUGAUUGUGCUUUUCUUUUGUUUCAUUGUACUCUCUUUCCUGUAGGCAUCUGCAUCAGCUUGUGGGUUUGAGGUGUAUGAUGUGCUGUAUGGUUGCUCAGCCCCCCCCCCAAAAAAGGUCCAGUGCAGGCCUCCCUCCCUGCUGUUUCUAAAUAUGGGCAUACAGUCAGUGUGUCGGUUUACACAAAGUACCCUGGUUUUCACCACAUGGACUAUGGACAGUGUGUUGUAUGUAGCUCAGUGUUAUGUCCACCCUGUAUAGCACACUAAUUGAACAUCACAAUAACUAGUAAGAGAAGUACUGUCAGCAUUAAAACCAGCACUGUGGGGUUUGUUGAAGGGAUACACUACUAGAAGCAAGUUCGUGCCAUAGACUGAAUAGCAUUCUAUACAAACAGUUGCGACCACUCUUCCAGACAGUUCCCCUUGAAAUAAGCCUGUUAUACUUCAGCUUUAUUUAUUGUAAUACUUUGCCAAGUGAAGGUACCGAAAGGGCAAUAUAGUAUAGCAGUUGGAUUAAUCGGUGAAUUAAUUAAUAUAGUGUUGUUUUAGAAUGUCAGCUGUUCUCUCCCCUUACUUGAUCUAUUUUAUUUCUUCCGGGUCAAUGCACUGAACCUGCUCUGCAGCAAUGGGACUGCCUGCAUUCAUGCAACUUACAAGCACGUUUGUCGGUACUAUGAGAUGUGUAUACACUUGAUGGUUAAUGCUUUU